rnacentral:lncRNA from 1 species
UCACAAUGGAACUGAAUUUUUUUCUGGAUCUUGAAAGAUGCACUGGAGUGGAAGAUGGUGAAGAAGAAGGUGGAAACAAGCACUAGAAAGACCACAAGAGAAGUGUUGCCCCUCUCCCCCAAGGGCAUCCUGGGCCGCUGCUCAGGCAUUCGGAUCCAUGCAGCAGAGACACCUGGGCCAGAGAGGCCAGUCCUAGGACCACAGGAAGAUGGUUCAGUGGUGAGCAGCAGAGAGAAGGCCUCUCCAAGGCUUGCUGUUGAAAAUUGAAGACCACUGGGUGAGCGAAGACAGAGCAGACUACAGCAGUUGGUGAGUUAGACAGUUGGUGAGUACAGCCGUUCUGUAGGACCACCUCCUACUGAACCUAGACUUGCUACAGGGGAAGGGCAGCUCAAACCUGC